GGGGCCGUUUUGGUUUUGACAGCAUAGAUCUUUGCAGGUGUAAGCAUGUAGUGCGUUGCGGUAUUAGCACUUUAAUCUGAAACCGAAAACUUUAAAUGGCAAUACUCAGUAUGCCAUGGCUGCUUAAGCGAUAGCUUAGCAACCAUUAGGGCCGCCGAGCAGGUUUUAUUACUGCCAAGUUCCGCCGCCGACAUCAAAAAAAAGUGAUAUGCUAUCCCGCAACGAAGUGAGCGGAAUUUAAGAUCAUUCUUCUAAGGAAAAUAUUGGUUUGUUGUACUCCGGUAUUUUUUCGAAAAUUAAUGUACAAAUAAACAUGUAGAAAGCUUGCGGCGAAUAUGUUUAGACACCGGUUCGAGUCCGGUCGGCUCCACAA
rnacentral:tmRNA from 1 species